rnacentral:rRNA from 1 species
CCUACGGGAGGCAGCAGUGGGGCAUAUUGCACAAUGGGGGAAACCCUGAUGCAGCGACGCCGCGUGAGUGAAGAAGUAAUUCGUUAUGUAAAGCUCUAUCAGCAGGGAAGCAAAUGACGGUACCUGAGUAAGACGCACCGGCUAACUACGUGCCAGCAACAGCGGUAAUACGUAGGGGGCAAGCGUUAUCCGGAUUUACUGGGUGUAAAGGGAGCGUAGACGGCAGUGCAAGUCUGGAGUGAAAGGCGGGGGGUCAACCCCCGGACUGCUCUGGAAACUGUACGGCUGGAGUGCAGAAGAGGUAAGUGGAAUUCUUAGUGUAGCGGUGAAAUGUGUAGAUAUUAGGAGGAACACCAGUGGCGAAGGCGGCUUACUGGACUGUAACUGACGUUGAGGCUCGAAAGCGUGGGGAGCAAACAGGAUUAGAUACCCCAGUAGUC